rnacentral:rRNA from 1 species
GCAAGCUUCAUUGUCGAGAGGGAAACAGCCCAGACCGUCGUCUAAGGUCCCAAGGUUCUGGCUAAGUGGUUAACGAGGUGAGAUUGCUCAGACAAUCAGGAGGUUGGCUUAGAAGCAGCCAUCCUUUAAACAGUGCGUAAUAGCUGACUGAUCGAGUGAUCUCGCGCGGAAAAUUCAACGGGGCUCAAGCCAGGCACCGAAGACACGGAUUCAUUGACUCCUGGUCAGUGAGUGGUAGGGGAGCGUCGGGUAGUAGGUCGAAGGUUGAGCGUAAGCGCAGCUGGACGAACCCCGAGUGCGAAUCCAGGAAUGAGUAGCGAAAAGCAAAGUGAGAAUCUUUGCCGCCGAAAACCCGAGGUUUCAGGAGCAAGGUUCGUCCUCUCCUGGUUAGGCGGGCCUAAGCCGAGGCCGAAAGGCGUAGGCGAUGGGCAGACGGUUGAAAUUCCGUCCCCACUGACAACAGUUAUCCGGUGUAGUGCGUCGGUUGGUUAGCCUACUUCCUAUAUGGAAGACGGCCUCUAUAGGCGUAAGCUGAAGGGAGGUCGCGAGAUCUUAGAUCGUAGUGGUGAAACCUAAACGGCCCAGAAAAGCUACAACGUAUGUUGUCGGUGCCCGUACCGCAAACCGACACAGGUGGGUGAGGAGAGUAUCCUCAGGCGCGCGAGAGAACCCACGUUAAGGAACUCGGCAAUCUGUUCCCGUAACUUUGGAAGAAGGGAAGCCCAAUUAUCGUGAAGGGACUUGCUCCCGGAGCGAGAAGGGGCCGCAGAGAAUCGGCUCAAGCGACUGUUUACCAAAAACAUAGGUCUCUGCUAAGCCGUAAGGCGACGUAUAGGGGCUGAUGCCUGCCCAAUGCCGGAAUGUCACGGGGAGAGGUUAGGGGCAACCCGAAGCUUUGAACCUAAGCACCGGUCAAUGGCGGCCGUAACUAUAACGGUCCUAAGGUAGCGAAAUUCCUUGUCGGGUAAGUUCCGACCUGCACGAAUGGCAUAACGACUUGAGCGCUGUCUCAACGUGGGACUCGGCGAAAUUGUAUUACGAGUGAAGAUGCUCGUUUAUCAUAGUAAGACGGAAAGACCCUGUGGAGCUUUACUGUAGCUUGUCAUUGAGUCGUUGGAUUAAAUGCAGAGGAUAGGUAGGAGCCGAUGAGGCGUCCCUUUCGGGGGGCGCGGAGGCGACGGUGGAAUACUACCCUUUUAAUCUGACGGCUCUAACCAACCCCGUUAUCCGGGUUUGGAACCGUGGCAGGCGGGCAGUUUGACUGGGGCGGUCGCCUCCUAAACGGUAACGGAGGCGUUCAAAGGUCCACUCAGGACGGUUGGCAAUCGUCCAAAGAGCGCAAUGGUAUAAGUGGGCUUGACUGCGAGACGUACAUGUCGAGCAGGUGCGAAAGCAGGACAUAGUGAUCCGACGGAGAAAAAA